rnacentral:rRNA from 1 species
AGCAGCCGCGGUAAUUCCAGCUCCAAUAGCGUAUAUUAAAGUUGUUGCAGUUAAAAAGCUCGUAGUUGAAUUUCGGGACCAAUUUGUUGGUCGUGCCUCGGUACGUACUGGUAUUAUUGGUUUCUCCCUUCUGAAGAACCUCGAUGCCAUUAAUUUGGUGUCGUGGGGAAUCAGGACUGUUACUUUGAAAAAAUUAGAGUGUUUAAAGCAAGCAUACGCUUGAAUACAUUAGCAUGGAAUAAUGAAAUAGGGCGUUUGAUUCUAUUUUGUUGGUUUCUAGGAUCGACGUAAUGAUUAAUAGGGAUAGUUGGGGGCAUUAGUAUUCAAUUGUCAGAGGUGAAAUUCUUGGAUUUAUUGAAGACUAACUACUGCGAAAGCAUUUGCCAAGGAUGUUUUCAUUAAUCAAGAACGAAAGUUAGGGGAUCGAAGACGAUCAGAUACCGUCGUAGUCUUAACCAUAAACUAUGCCGACUAGGGAUCGGAUGAUGUUAAUUUUUUAAUGUACUCAUUCGGCGCCUUA